AACGAACGCUGGCGGCGUGUUUAAGACACGCAAGUCGCACGGGAUAAGACAUGUAGUAAUACUUGUUUUAUUUAGUGGCGCACGGGUGAGUAACACGUGAAUUACAUGCCCUAUAGUGGGGAAUAGCCCAGGGAAACUUGGAUUAAUACCCCAUGGUAUCGAAAGAUUAAAGGUGGCCGCAAGGCUGUCGCUAUAGGAUUGGUUCGCGCCCUAUCAGCUUGUUGGUGAGGUAACGGCUCACCAAGGCAAUGACGGGUACCUGGUCUGAGAGGACGAUCAGGGACACUGGAACUGAGAUACGGUCCAGACACCUACGGGUGGCAGCAGUCGAGAAUAAUUCACAAUGGGGGCAACCCUGAUGGCGCAACGCCGCGUGGAGGAUGACGGUCUUCGGAUUGUAAACUCCUGUCAUCUGGGAGAAAGACCUGACGGUAAAUAGCCGGCAGGGUUGAUAGUACCAGAAGAGGAAGGGACGGCUAACUUCGUGCCAGCCGCCGCGGUAA
rnacentral:rRNA from 1 species